rnacentral:rRNA from 1 species
CCUACGGGAGGCAGCAGUGAGGAAUAUUGGUCAAUGGCCGGAAGGCUGAACCAGCCAAGUCGCGUGAAGGAAGACGGCCCUAUGGGUUGUAAACUUCUUUUAUAGGGGAAUAAUGGUAGCUACGUGUGGCUUUUUGCAUGUACCUUAUGAAUAAGCAUCGGCUAACUCCGUGCCAGCAGCCGCGGUAAUACGGAGGAUGCGAGCGUUAUCCGGAUUUAUUGGGUUUAAAGGGUGCGUAGGCUGUUUUUUAAGUUAGUGGUGAAAGCUUGGGGCUCAACCCUUGAAUUGCCAUUGAGACUGGAAGACUUGAGUGGAUAUGAGGUAGGCGGAAUGCGUGGUGUAGCGGUGAAAUGCAUAGAUAUAACACAGAACUCCGAUUGCGAAGGCAGCUUACUAGGCCAUAACUGACGCUGAAGCACGAGAGCGUGGGGAUCAAACAGGAUUAGAUACCCGGGUAGUC